ACACUCCUGCGGGAGGCAGCAGUGGGGAAUAUUGCACAAUGGGCGCAAGCCUGAUGCAGCCAUGCCGCGUGUAUGAAGAAGGCCUUCGGGUUGUAAAGUACUUUCAGCGGGGAGGAAGGCGAUAAGGUUAAUAACCUUGUUGAUUGACGUUACCCGCAGAAGAAGCACCGGCUAACUCCGUGCCAGCAGCCGCGGUAAUACGGAGGGUGCAAGCGUUAAUCGGAAUUACUGGGCGUAAAGCGCACGCAGGCGGUCUGUCAAGUCGGAUGUGAAAUCCCCGGGCUCAACCUGGGAACUGCAUUCGAAACUGGCAGGCUAGAGUCGUGUAGAGGGGGGUAGAAUUCCAGGUGUAGCGGUGAAAUGCGUAGAGAUCUGGAGGAAUACCGGUGGCGAAGGCGGCCCCCUGGACAAAGACUGACGCUCAGGUGCGAAAGCGUGGGGAGCAAACAGGAUUAGAUACCCGAGUAGUCCCAUG
rnacentral:rRNA from 1 species